AACGGCGAGUGAAGCGGCAGCAGCUCAGAUUUGAAAUCUGGCCCCCUCGGGGGCCCGAGUUGUGGUCUGCAGAGGAUGCUCUGGGCGCGGCGCCUUCCGAGUUCCCUGGAACGGGACGCCACAGAGGGUGAGAGCCCCGUCCGGUCGGACGCCAGGCCCGUGUAGAGCUCCUUCGACGAGUCGAGUAGUUUGGGAAUGCUGCUCAAAGUGGGAGGUACAUGUCUUCUAAAGCUAAAUACCGGCCAGAGACCGAUAGCGCACAAGUAGAGUGAUCGAAAGAUGAAAAGCACUUUGGAAAGAGGGUUAAAGAGCACGUGAAAUUGCUGAAAGGGAAGCGCCCGCGACCAGACUUGGGCCCGGCAGGUCACCCAGGCUCUCGGGCCAGGGGCACUCUGCCGGGCGCAGGCCAGCAUCGGCUCGGCGCGGGGGACAAAGGCGGCGGGAACGUGGCUCCUCAGGGAGUGUUAUAGCCCGCCGCGCCAUGCCCCGUGCCGGGCCGAGGCACGCGCACCCCGCAAGGAUGCUGGCGUAAUGGUCGCCGGCGACCCGUCUUGAAACACGGACCAAGGAGUCGUCCUCGUAUGCGAGUGUUGGGGUGCCAAACCCCUACGCGCAGUGAAAGCGAACGCAGGUGAGAGCCGAAGCCUCGGCGCAUCAUCGACCGAUCCUGAUGUUCUCGGAUGGAUUUGAGUAGGAGCAUACGGGGCCGGACCCGAAAGAAGGUGAACUAUGCCUGUGUAGGGUGAAGCCAGAGGAAACUCUGGUGGAGGCUCGCAGCGGUUCUGACGUGCGAAUCGAUCGUCAAACAUGGGCAUGGGGGCGAAAGACUAAUCGAACCUU
rnacentral:rRNA from 1 species